rnacentral:rRNA from 1 species
AAGCCUACGGGACGCAGCAGUGAGGAAUAUUGGUCAAUGGGCGGAAGCCUGAACCAGCCAAGUCGCGUGAGGGAAUAAGGCCCUACGGGUCGUAAACCUCUUUUGCCGGGGAGCAAGGGCCGGGACGCGUCCCGGCCCGGAGAGUACCCGGAGAAAAAGCAUCGGCUAACUCCGUGCCAGCAGCCGCGGUAAUACGGAGGAUGCGAGCGUUAUCCGGAUUUAUUGGGUUUAAAGGGUGCGCAGGCGGGAGAUCAAGGCAGCGGUGA